GAUGAACGCUGGCGGCGUGCCUAAUACAUGCAAGUCGAGCGAACAGACGAGAAGCUUGCUUCUCUGAUGUUAGCGGCGGACGGGUGAGUAACACGUGGAUAACCUACCUAUAAGACUGGGAUAACUUCGGGAAACCGGAGCUAAUACCGGAUGAUAUUUUGAACCGCAUGGUUCAAAAGUGAAAGACGGUCUUGCUGUCACUUAUAGAUGGAUCCGCGCUGCAUUAGCUAGUUGGUAAGGUAACGGCUUACCAAGGCAACGAUGCAUAGCCGACCUGAGAGGGUGAGCGGCCACCCUGGGACUGGGAACCGGGCCAGAAUCCUACGGGGAGGCGCCGUAGGGAAUCUUCCGGCAUGGGCGGAAGACUGAAGGAGCAACGCCGCGGGCGUGAGGAAGGUCUUCGGGUCGUAAAACUCUGUUAUUAGGGUAGAAACUAUGUGUAAGUAACUGUGACCCUCUUGGACGUUACUAAUCAGAAAGGCACGGGCUAAUAACUGC
rnacentral:rRNA from 1 species